rnacentral:rRNA from 1 species
CAAUAGCGUAUAUUAAAGUUGUUGCGGUUAAAAAGCUCGUAGUUGGAUUUCUGUUGAGGUCGGCCGGUCCCUACUUCGUAGGCGUAUCUGGUUCAGCCUUGGCAUCCUCCUAGGGAACGGCACUGCUCUUAACUGAGUGGUCCGGUAUCUAGGACUUUUACUUUGAGGAAAUUAGAGUGUUUACGGCAGGCAAUCGCCUUGAAUAUGUUAGCAUGGAAUAAUAAUAUAGGACCUUGGUUCUAUUUUGUUGGUUUCUAGGACUAAGGUAAUGAUUAAUAGGGAUAUUUGGGGGCAUUCGUAUUAACCGGUCAGAGGUGGAAUUCUUGGAUUCGGUUACGACGAACUACUGCGAAAGCAUUUGCCAAGGAUGUUUUCAUUGA